AAUAGAUACCCCGGUAGUCCACGCCGUAAACGAUGAGUGCUAAGUGUUAGAGGGUUUCCGCCCUUUAGUGCUGCAGCUAACGCAUUAAGCACUCCGCCUGGGGAGUACGGUCGCAAGACUGAAACUCAAAGGAAUUGACGGGGGCCCGCACAAGCGGUGGAGCAUGUGGUUUAAUUCGAAGCAACGCGAAGAACCUUACCAGGUCUUGACAUCCUCUGACAACUCUAGAGAUAGAGCGUUUCCCUUCGGGGGACAGAGUGACAGGUGGUGCAUGGUUGUCGUCAGCUCGUGUCGUGAGAUGUUGGGUUAAGUCCCGCAACGAGCGCAACCCUUGAUCUUAGUUGCCAGCAUUUAGUUGGGCACUCUAAGGUGACUGCCGGUGACAAACCGGAGGAAGGUGGGGAUGACGUCAAAUCAUCAUGCCCCUUAUGACCUGGGCUACACACGUGCUACAAUGGAUGGUACAAAGGGCUGCAAGACCGCGAGGUCAAGCCAAUCCCAUAAAACCAUUCUCAGUUCGGAUUGUAGG
rnacentral:rRNA from 1 species